rnacentral:lncRNA from 1 species
UUUUUUUUUUUUUUUUUUUUGAGACGGAGUUUCGCUCUUGUUGCCCAGGCUGGAGUGUAAUGGCGUGAUCUCGGUUCACUGCAACCUCUGCCUCCAGGGGGUUCAAGCGAUUCUCCUGCCUCAACCUCCCCAGUAGCUGGGAUUACAGGUACCCGCCACCAUGCCCAGCUAAUUUUUCGUAUUUUUAGUAAAGACGGGGUUUCACUAUGUUGGUCAGGCUGGUCUCGAACUCCUGACCUCAGGUGAUCCACCCGCCUUGGCCUCCCGAAGUGCUGAGAUUACAGGCGUGAGUCACCACACCCAGCCGGUUCUGUCACUUUUUAUCCUCACCUAAUUGGACCAGAGUAUCUGUGGCCAAAGUCUCUGCUCUUAACACCAUGAUGUGCUACCCUCUCUCUUUCUCCUGUCCAGGGGAACUUUUCUGGAGGCGGUGUGAACCCUGCAUGCUUCCUGAGGCCAGCAGUGGUGACUGGGAUCUGGGAGCAUUACUGGGAGAGAUGCAUUGAGGGUCACAGGGCCUGAAGUCAGGAGACUGAUGAGACUUCUAGAAUAUAGGAGAUUCCAGUGAUGUCUGGUGGACUGUUUCUCUUCUAUGUGAUUGAGCUCCAAACCCUUUGGGUGCUCUCUGGCCUGUUCUCAGCAACUCUUCCCGCCAGUGGAUAGGUUAGAUGGACCCUCUACCUUCACUAUAACUCUCUUUCUGUCCAUCCCCAAGCUGGGUAUUAUGAGGAGAAAGCACAGUCCCUGAUCUGUGUUCCUUCUCUCUCCCCAUAGGUGUACUGGGUGGGACCCAUGCUGGGCACCAUUCUUGCAGGCCUCACCUCGAAUUUCUGUUCUCUGGUGGUUUAUGAGAAAAGUUUGUGGCCAGUAUGACUUGCCACUAUGUGGAGAUGGUAGAACCUAUCAGUGUGUCCCAUUCCACCUUCUCCAUCAUCACACAACCCCACGCCUAGGUCCCAAGUCCCUCACCAGGCCCGAGCACAACUGAACCUCUUUCCCCAAACUUUCCUUCCCCAUAUUAUCCUUUUCCCUCUCCUUGACCGGCUGUUUCCCCAGAUCUGAUCCCAGCACACCCAUACCUUUCCCUAGGGAUCAAGGUUUAGGAUGUGCUGAUCAUGGCUGUAUUAGAGGACAUUAGGCCUUCCGAUUGCUUCAUAGCCAUGACUCAGUUUCCUUCCUUUCACUACUUCUUGCUAUGACCAUGUGAGUUAGGAAAGAUGAAAUACAAGCGGAUUCUAAGGUUUAACUACGAGUCCCUUUCCCAUUCCUAUCCCUCCAAUCCAACCCCCAGCCCAUGCGGGGAUGAGAGGGUCUUCUCUCUGUUGGUCCCUGUUGUUUAAAAAGCCAGGCCUAGCGUUUGAAAAGGGAGGUACUGUCAUGGACUGGGGGUAGGGAACCCGGGCUCAGAGAAAGCCAGACACAGCAGAACUAUUUUGUCCCGGAGCUGCAGGGUCCACAGAUUCCAGCCCAAACUAGCCAAUGGGAGAAAGGCUUCUAAUCCCUGGGAACUAAAGAAUUCUCUUUAGUUAUCCAACUUCCCUGCUGAACCCCACUCCUUACCCCCACCCCCACCCUUACCCCUGGCAGACUCAGAGGAGGCUGAGGCCCCCAGGAGCUCAGCCCCAAAUGCCAUGAAGCGAGCUCAGCUUGAUGGACCUUCCAAAGAGAGCUGAAGAGUAUUGUAAUGUAGAUGUCAAUAAGGACUAUGAACCCCAAUUUUGACACAUGUAGAAGGGCAGACUCUUCCAGUCCCACUGUCUUCACCCCCACUUCUCAUAGUUUCUCCUGCUGUGACCCCAAUCCCACCCUCACUGCCAUGGCUCUCUUGGCUCAUCUCCCAGUUGAGACAGGAGGGAAAAUCCAGCAUCUUUACCCUGUAUGGGAGGGGACUUAGCCCUCCACAGCUGUGAAGGGGUUAAGAGGCUGGGCCAGCUACCUCAGUCUGCCCCUCCC